rnacentral:rRNA from 1 species
GACGAACGCUGGCGGCGUGCCUAAUACAUGCAAGUUGAGCGCUGAAGGUUGGUACUUGUACCAACUGGAUGAGCAGCGAACGGGUGAGUAACGCGUGGGGAAUCUGCCUUUGAGCGGGGGACAACAUUUGGAAACGAAUGCUAAUACCGCAUAAAAACUUUAAACACAAGUUUUAAGUUUGAAAGAUGCAAUUGCAUCACUCAAAGAUGAUCCCGCGUUGUAUUAGCUAGUUGGUGAGGUAAAGGCUCACCAAGGCGAUGAUACAUAGCCGACCUGAGAGGGUGAUCGGCCACAUUGGGACUGAGACACGGCCCAAACUCCUACGGGAGGCAGCAGUAGGGAAUUUUCGGCAAUGGACGAAAGUCUGACCGAGCAACGCCGCGUGAGUGAAGAAGGUUUUCGGAUCGUAAAACUCUGUUGGUAGAGAAGAACGUUGGUGAGAGUGGAAAGCUCAUCAAGUGACGGUAACUACCCAGAAAGGGACGGCUAACUACGUG